rnacentral:lncRNA from 1 species
AAAGGGAGAUGAGUCUCAUUGGGUGGGAGGCAUCUUCAUUUGGUUGAAAGCUCGUAGAGUAUGUGUGAGGUUUCACUACUCUUGCUUGCCGGGAAUCUGCACACUCAAGCUGGAUAUUUCUCCACCAAACCAAGGCUGUUUGGUACACAUUUGUUGUGGUUUAACUUGCACACCUAAUCAACUCUACAUAGAAUUAUAGAAACCAAUGCUCUGGUACAUCAUCUGUCUCUCUUUUCUCACAGUCGCGUGAUUUUUCUGUUGUAGUUCUGUUUUUGAUAACUCUGUUUGGUUGAGUUGAAAGGUUUUUCUAUUGUAGCUCUGUUUACGUUGUAGACAAAUUCAGUCCACAAGGUGUUCGAUAGAUUGCCCGAGAGAGUUUCUUUGCUGCGAAUUGGGUCUUAUGACCUGUAUAUUUCAUAUUUAAAUCUAAUAGAAUAAUAAGAAUUACAUCACUCAUUAUAAAAAAAGGAUGAAUUAUGGCUAGCCUUCUUACUUUCGUGCAAUCUAAAUAUAUUAGCAUUACAAUCUGAUCCAUUUCGACUUUAGAGCAGCAGCAGCGUGAGUUAUUAUUGGGAUUUUGUAGUUUUCUCUCUGGUCUUGAUUCUAUUUUUUAUUGAAUUACAGAUGAUAAAAUUAUCAUACUUACAUUUUUAUUUAUUAUUAUCAUAUGGACUGUUAUGAUAACUUUAUUAACUACGUCCAGUUUUAUUAUACUUUGAGCAUUUUAAUCACUCUAGUUACCGAUGGCUUUGAGUUCGAUUACCACAACAUACUAUUCUGUUGGUAAUUUACAAAUACUGUUCUAAUUUUUCUAUUUUCUUUUUUUUUUCUAUCACCAUAUCUUUAAUUCAAACACAACUUUAUACUAUUGCCAUUUGUGGAGCUAUUAUAAAGUCAUCACUAGGCUUUUGGGCCACCAAUUUAAAGGACAAAGACAUGAUUUGCUGGAAUUUGUUUUCUCCUGGGUCUCGUAAGGUAUAAUAAACGGGCCAGACUUUUCAGAUUUCCAACAAAGAAAUUGGGCCUUUUAUAGGCUGCAAAUUUUAAGGCCUUCAAAGAAUAUACUUAAGCCUCUUGGGACUUCAGCAGUUAGAGGACAUUUGAGAACGGUAGCGUGCCACUUGGGACUUCUUGUUGGGUCACAAUCUUUUUUAUGCUUAGGUAAUUGGGUUUUGGGGCUGAAUUUUAAAGCCAUUUCAGGACUCAUAUUUGGCCCACCAAAAGGAAAAUGUCAUUAUAACAAAAAUUUUGUACAUAAACAACCGUCAUAAUAACGUGGGCAAUAUUAUAAUUAAAAAUAAUUUUGAUGGUUCUUUAUAUUUAAAUAAUAAAUUUAUAAUUAUGCUACGUUAUUCUGUAUAAAAUUUAUUAAGAUAAAUGAAGGUGUCUUUCAUUCUUUCUUUUUCUAAGCACCCUUUCUGUAGAGAAUCAUAUUUUCUCUCUCUUUACUUUCUUGGAAUUAUUUAAUUCAUCAUUUGUCUUAAAAGUUGGUGACUUAAUUGUUGGAAAAAACUUCAUUUUUUUAAAAAAAACUUAAACAACACACAAAAAAAAAACAAAAAAAAUUUCUUUGUUUAAACCAGAGCGUUGAAUCACAAAAGAAGAGAAGAAGAGAACAGAUUAUAAACCAAUGCAACUUAAGAUGCAGAAUUGUGAUUUGGCUGAGGCCUGAAUUAAAUCAGUGUACUUAAGGAUGUUUACAACCCGCACUUGGUACUUACGGAAUAUGUUUGUACGACUCCAGGAUACACAGCGUGCACAGGGACCUUUUCUGCCCAAAUUGAAAGGUUGCACCUAUUCAGGAUCAAAGGAAAACUUCUGGAAGAAAUUCGUAUAACCGCUUUGUUUAAAUCCGAAACGGUGUGACCGUUCGCCAACAAGGAAAUUAAUUCCGGGGAAGAAACGUAAUUUCUUAAUUUAGAAAUAAAAUAAUGAAUAAAUUUUUCUCAAGAAAAUAAAUUCAAUUAAGCCCAAAGCCCAAAGACGAGCCCGAGCCGAGCCCGGCGGGCGAGGCGGCGCAGCCGCACAGGGGUCAAUCCAUAAAGACCAUAGGCUUAAUGGAUCAGGACCACUUUAUACAUAACUCCUCCCCUUUAAAAACUUGUGGUGCCAAGGGCCCAAUUUAAAGGAGGUCCAUACUGAGGCUUUAUAUUUCCAUAACUUUCCUUUCUUUUUCCAUUUGGGACAACCUUUCUAUCCCCAUUUUUCCUUUGCAUUGAAGUUCUUUGAGACAACAAUUUCCAUUCAAAUUAACUUAUUUUUUGGACCCCAAUGAAUACACUAAUUCAUCUACUCAUUUAGAGAACAGAAUCUAUCAUGUUCAGUUAAUUUAGUGCUACGGAAAUUCAAAAAUUUAAUUCCAAAGUGUGUUCACAACAACACUCUCAAAAACCAAACUUCUAACAUUAAUUCAUAUAUAAAUUCCCAAAUAACAAGUCUUAUUGGCCAUAUUUUGUAUACUACUUCAGGACAUAGUCAAAUAAGAAUAUUUUCAAAAUUU